rnacentral:rRNA from 1 species
GACGAACGCUGGCGGCGUGCUUAACACAUGCAAGUCGAACGGAAAGGCCUUUUCGGAGGUACUCGAGUGGCGAACGGGUGAGUAACACGUGGGUGAUCUGCCCUGCACUCUGGGAUAAGCCUGGGAAACUGGGUCUAAUACCGGAUAGGACCGCACUUUAGUGUGUGUGGUGGAAAGUUUUUUCGGUGUAGGAUGAGCCCGCGGCCUAUCAGCUUGUUGGUGGGGUAAUGGCCUACCAAGGCGGCGACGGGUAGCCGGACUGAGAGGUUGGUCGGCCACAUUGGGACUGAGAUACGGCCCAGACGCCUACGGGAGGCAGCAGUGGGGAGUAUUGCACAAUGGGCGCAAGCCUGAUGCAGCGACGCCGCGUGGGGGAUGACGGCCUUCGGGUUGUAAACUCCUUUCGCCAGGGACGAAGCGUUUUGUGACGGUACCUGGAGAAGAAGCACCGGCUAACUACGUG